rnacentral:rRNA from 1 species
CCGGACUUACUGGGCGUAAAGCGUGCGUAGGCGGCGCGGACGUCGGCACUGAAAGCGCUCGGCUUAACCGAGCGAGGUGUGGCGAUACGUCCGUGCUCGAGGCAGGGAGAGGUUCGCAGAAUUCCGGGUGUAGUGGUGAAAUGCGUAGAUAUCCGGAGGAAUGCCAGUGGCGUAAGCGGCGAACUGGUCCUGCCCUGACGCUAAGGCACGAAAGCGUGGGGAGCGAACCGGAUUAGAUACCCGGGUAGUCCACGCAGUAAACGCUGUCGGCUCGGUGUGCGGUGGUAACUCAAGCACCACGGCGUGCCUACGCUCACGCGGGUAAGCCGACCGCCUGGGGACUACGAGCGCAAGCUUAACACUCAAAGGAAUUGACGGGGGCCCGCACAAGCAGCGGAGCGUGUGGGUUUAAUUCGACGCAACACGCAGAACCUUACCCAGGUUUVACAUGUGUCUGCAAGCGCACGGAAACCGUGUGACCUGCGAGGGURACACACAGGUGCUGCGUGGCUGUCGUCAGCUCGUGUCGUGAGAUGUUGGGUUAAGUCCCGCAACGAGCGCAACCCUCGCCGUCAGUUACAAGUGUCUGGCGGSACAGCCUCCAGUCGGAGGAGGAAGGCGGGGAUGACGUCAAGUCCGCAUGGCCCCUUACGCCUGGGGCGACACACACGCUACAAUGCGUACCACAAUGCGUUGCCACGACGCAAGUCGGCGCUAAUCGCCAAAGGUGCGCUCAGUGCAGAUCGGGGGCUGCAACUCGCCCCCGUGAAGGCGGAGUUGCUAGUAACCGCGUWUCAGCCAUGGCGCGGUGAAUACGUACCCC